rnacentral:lncRNA from 1 species
UUUCUCUCUCAACAAAAUCAUCAGAAUUAAUGAAAUAAUUUUGCAUGCUUAAUGACAUCAAACUUGCAACAAAUAAUUUUUCCAAUCCAUCGACAUCAAUAUUCAAUAAUUCUUCAUGCCAUAAAUGCUUUAAAUUGCAAGAAGUAAUUCUUCCAUACUUGAAACUGUUGAUCCUCAAAAUAUGGUCCUCAUUUAUUUUAGGUAAGGGAGUCAAUUGAAUCCCUUAUUAAUCAUACCAUCGGCUCAUUAAAAUUGGUCUUUCUUUCUACUACAUAUACCAUCUAUAUAAACAAAUUGUUGAAGUAAUAUUGAAAUUUUGUCUCUCAGUUGUUCAUUGGUGAUGAAAAACAUCCUGGGCAAUUGCAAAUCUUUGUCAAUGUUAGCUGCUAAUUAUAGCUCAUGUCGUAGAGCUUGUUUGUCCCAGCUUGUCUCAAUUAACAAUUCAUUCAUGGCGAGACGCAAUUGCUAUAAUUUGCCAAUGUUGUCUUCUUUGUGUUCGACUUAUUCGAGUAGUACUACUUACUGUUCCUGUUCCUACUCCUACGGAAAGAAAAGGAGAAGGAGG